rnacentral:rRNA from 1 species
CCUACGGGUGGCAGCAGUCGAGAAUCAUUCACAAUGGGGGAAACCCUGAUGGUGCGACGCCGCGUGGGGGAAUGAAGGUCUUCGGAUUGUAAACCCCUGUCAUGUGGGAGCAAAUUAAAAAGAUCGUACCACAAGAGGAAGAGACGGCUAACUCUGUGCCAGCAGCCGCGGUAAUACAGAGGUCUCAAGCGUUGUUCGGAAUCACUGGGCGUAAAGCGUGCGUAGGCUGUUUCGUAAGUCGUGUGUGAAAGGCGCGGGCUCAACCCGCGGACGGCACAUGAUACUGCGAGACUAGAGUAAGGGAGGGGGAACCGGAAUUCUCGGUGUAGCAGUGAAAUGCGUAGAUAUCGAGAGGAACACUCGUGGCGAAGGCGGGUUCCUGGACAGUAACUGACGCUGAGGCACGAAGGCCAGGGGAGCGAAAGGGAUUAGAUACCCUUGUAGUC